rnacentral:rRNA from 1 species
GGGCAGGCCUACACAUGCAAGUCGAGCGGUAACAGAUCCAGCUUGCUGGAUGCUGACGAGCGGCGGACGGGUGAGUAACGCAUAGGAAUUUACCCGAUAGUGGGGGAUAACCUGGGGAAACUCAGGCUAAUACCGCAUACGUCCUACGGGAGAAAGGGGGCCUUGGCUCCCGCUAUCGGAUGAGCCUAUGCCGGAUUAGCUGGUUGGUGAGGUAAUGGCUCACCAAGGCGACGAUCCGUAGCUGGUCUGAGAGGAUGAUCAGCCACAUCGGGACUGAGACACGGCCCGAACUCCUACGGGAGGCAGCAGUGGGGAAUAUUGGACAAUGGGGGCAACCCUGAUCCAGCCAUGCCGCGUGUGUGAAGAAGGCCCUCGGGUUGUAAAGCACUUUCAGCGAGGAAGAACGCCUGGCGGUUAAUACCCGCCAGGAAAGACAUCACUCGCAGAAGAAGCACCGGCUAACUCCGUGCCAGCAGCCGCGGUAAUACGGAGGGUGCAAGCGUUAAUCGGAAUUACUGGGCGUANAGCGCGCGUANGUGGCUUGAUAAGCCGGUUGUGAAAGCCCCGGGCUCAACCUGGGAACCGCAUCCGGAACUGU